UGGGGAAUUUUGGACAAUGGGCGCAAGCCUGAUCCAGCAAUGCCGCGUGCAGGAUGAAGGCCUUCGGGUUGUAAACUGCUUUUGUACGGAACGAAACGGCGAGCUCUAAUACAGUUUGCUAAUGACGGUACCGUAAGAAUAAGCACCGGCUAACUACGUGCCAGCAGCCGCGGUAAUACGUAGGGUGCAAGCGUUAAUCGGAAUUACUGGGCGUAAAGCGUGCGCAGGCGGUUAUGUAAAACAGAUGUGAAAUCCCCGGGCUUAACCUGGGAACUGCAUUUGUGACUGCAUAGCUAGAGUACGGUAGAGGGGGAUGGAAUUCCGCGUGUAGCAGUGAAAUGCGUAGAUAUGCGGAGGAACACCGAUGGCGAAGGCAAUCCCCUGGACCUGUACUGACGCUCAUGCACGAAAGCGUGGGGAGCAAACA
rnacentral:rRNA from 1 species